rnacentral:rRNA from 1 species
AACGAACGCUGGCGGCAUGCCUAACACAUGCAAGUCGAACGAGACCUUCGGGUCUAGUGGCGCACGGGUGCGUAGAGCGUGGGAACCUGCCCUUAGGUUCGGACUAACUCCCCGAAAGGGGUGCUAAUACAGGAUAAUGUCUUCGGACCAACGAUUUCUCGCCUUUGGAUGGGCCCGCGUUGGAUUAGCUAGUUGGUAGGGUAACAGCCUGCCAUGGCGACGAUCCGUGGCUGGUCGGUGAGGAGGAUCAGCCACACUGGGAAUGAGACACGGCCCAGACUGCGACGCAAGGGUGCAGUGGGGAGCACUGGAGGAGGGGCGAAGGUGUGACACAGCAGCGCCGCGGGUGACAUGCAGGCCGUAGGGUUGUAAAGCUCUUUUAGCCGAGGUGAUAAUGACAGUACCGGGAGAAUAAGCACCGGCUAACUACGUG